rnacentral:SRP_RNA from 1 species
GCCGGGUGUGGUGGCACACACCUAUAAUCCCAGCUACUCAGGAGGCUGAGGCAGGAGAAUUGCUUGAACCCAGGAGGCAGAGGUUGCAGUGAGCUGAGAUUGUGCCACUGCACUCCAGCCUGGGUGACAGAGUGAGAUUCUGUCUCAA